UUUGCACCGGCAAGUCCUACACAACCAGCUCCUUUGAAAUCCCCCAGGGUGGGAACACAGCAAGGGUACAAGGUCGUAGCGGUGUGAUGUAGGUCGCUUGCCAUUUU
rfam:Flavobacteriaceae bacterium CG1_02_35_72 cg1_0.2_scaffold_3414_c, whole genome shotgun sequence.